GGAAUUUAGUGCCAGCUACUAGAGCCAGGCUGGGGAUGUGGGUGCCCUUGGCCCGUAGUGCCAGCUGCUGGAGUGAAUGGGAGUCCUGAGGUCAGUAACUGGAGGGUCCUCUCUGGAAGUAAGAGGAUCUCAACAAACUCUGAGCCUGGAGUAGCAGCUACUGGGGGAUCAGCGUGAGUAAACUGAUGCCAGCUACCAGAACAAGUAGAAGUCCCAGCCAUGGGGCAGGAGUAAUGUGUGCUCCCAAACUAUGGAGGAAACACAGUGAGGGGGGCAGUGCAGACUCUCUACCAGCAACAGGAGCAGGGCCAUGGGUUGGUCAUGCUUCAUAUGCCUGGAGCCAAUUGCUUGAGGAGUCUAGUGUCUGUAUCUUUCCCACCUGUUGCGCAUGUGUAUUCUCUAGCAAACUUUAAACUGGGCUUGCCAGUACACAGCAACAGCCUCAGAUCUGGGCCAGGUAUCAGGCACACAGUGGGUUUGUGCUGGUACAGGCAGGAGGACCUGUGAAUGUGGUGUGCAUAAGGAAUGAGUAUGUGAUGUAUGAAAUGGAAAAGAGGGCCUGGCAUCUGUGCAAGGGUGCUGAGUGGAGAGAGGAUCUCUGAGGUACAUCUGCAGCUUUACUACCAGUUCUCCAGUGGUAAAGAAGCAGCAGCAGCUGAGUCCUCAGCCUAGGUAGAGAUCUAGGGUCGCUGGGCACCAGACUGGGCCCCAACAGCCAGGCGCAAGCAGUCCCCAAGGCCACCUGGAAGAGAUGGCUGUGCUCCUUACCUCACUUAGCAAUUUAACUUUCAGUCAGAUGUAGUCUGAGUCACCCUUUGGAUAGAAGCAACAUCUACUUAAAAUCUUAUGCAGAUUUCAUUUACAUCUCAGUUCUACAAGUCUGAGGGAGUGGAGGUGCUUUUGCCUACUUAGCUUUCAAGAGGAAGCUCUGAGAUGCUGCUGGGUUUCCCAGGCAAGUUCUGCAUGAUCACAACUAUUUUACACCAAAGAUAAUGAUCACAGGUGAAGGCUAUUCUGUUAAUUGCCUUCACUCUGUUCCACAGCUAGUUAAAACCUGCAAGGGCAAGAUGCAGAACUGUGUGUUAUCUCUUUAGCAGACUGAAGCUCUCAAUUCAUUACAGCUUGCAGAAAGGAAGCAUGCAGAUUAGAAGAGCACCUAUUUGGUGUGCUUGUAGGAUACAGAGAUCUCAAUUUUAAAACCAUCCCUAUUCAAGCACACUAAUGUCUUCUCUGGAAUACAUCCCCACACCAAAACAGCUGGUACUGUGUGUGCUUCAUACUGACUGAUAGGGAAGAAGAUAUUCCCCAUACCAUCUUCUCCUGCCUGCUAAAGCAUCAAACAACCAAGGAUUGGAGAAAUCUUCUGUGGCUCCUCUUAUAUACCCUGAGGAAGUUUCGCCAGAGGUGAACUAGAUCUUGCUCAAGUGUUUGCAUAGGAAGUUGGCCACCUGGAGGUAACGAUGAGGGAGGAACUUCUCUUGUCUCUUUUGCUGUCCUUAUAUCAAGAGACUCUUGUAAGCCUCUUUUAAUAUAAAGCCUCUAUUUUCUGUUGGGUUCCUCUGUGGAAGAUAAUGAUCUUGGUAAAAUGUUUACCUAGACUUCCUUACACAAAGAGCUAUCAUGACAAUGUACUUUCUUAAGUAUGUAAUUUUAGUCAGUAAAAAAGAAACGUGUGGUUCCAGACAGGGAAAAUACUAUUGCUGCAUUUUUUUUCUUUUACUGUCUUAGCGGUUGUGAAGGAAGAAAUACGUGAUUCAGUUGAUCUGCACAUACUGUUGCAGUUUGGUCAGGCAAAAUAUCCUGAGACAUCUUCUGGGUUGAUACUUAUCUUUGGAGACUGGUAUUAUGAGCUAAACUAAGAGAGCAUGCAAUUAACAUUUAUAUGCACAGUAAUUUAAAUUAUAGUAGAAUGUAUAGGAUCUUUAGAAGGCCAUAAGACAGCUAGUUUUAAUUCAGAUAUCCUAAGAUAAUGUAGGUAGUGUCCAGAUAAACAUGCCAGUACUGCUUGCUUUGUUCUUCUAAAUAUAUUGUUAUUUUGCCAAUUUUCUAGAGCAAUGGAGUACUAAAGUAGAGGUCAAAAUAGAUUCUACAAAGCAAUAUGCAAUUCAAUUCUUUAACCCUAACCCAAGUGUGGGAAUUAUUAAGAGUUCUGGGAUACUUUAUUGAGCCUACAGCCACAAGUCAGUAUUUUCUUAGAGAGAGAGAGAAUGAUGAAAGAACAAUAAAAUCAUUAUGUGACAAUUUACACCAGAAGUGCAAAAGCCCUGUUGUAUCCAUGCACCUAAAUAUAGGUUGAACAAAAAAAAAAGGGGGGAGGGGGGGCAGUUAAAGCAAUUUCCAUCCUCAGGUUAUGUUACAAACCUUGUAUUUAGUGAAAGGAGAAUGAGUAGCUUCCUAAAAGCACAGAUACUCAAGGUGAUCAUAUUCUGCAUGCUGUAGUAAGAGGGGGGAAAAAAAGCUAUAAAGACAGUAUUUAUCUUUGCUGAUGGUAACCUAAUUAACCAUAAACUGUACUAAAAUGCAGCAGUGUCCAAGGAUGACUUGCUCCUUCUGUACUGACAGGCAUAGAAAUGUUGGCAAUAAAUUUAAGCUGUAAGGCUAUAUUCCAGUAUCUUCUAAUUUAUCUGCAGAGUGUCAGCCUCUAUCAGCUGGCGUUGACCGAAACAGGGCAUAAAAGGACAGAUGUACCAAUUUUGUACUUCAUUUACACAUUGGAAAAGAACAAGAUUCUUUCUCCUCCCCUGGGAAGAUUUAAAUAGUCACUGACUUUAGCAAACAAAUAUGUGAGAGGCAUAAGGAUGCUUCAUAAGGUUCUGGUCUGGAAUUAGUAUGGAAUAUUUUUAUUUUUUAAGUAAUAGUUAAUACUGACAUUUAUUUUUCAAAUUAUUUGGUUUCCAAAUUAUUUCAGCUAAAAAUAAAAGCAAUUGUGAGGAAAAUUCUGAGAAGAAAUAACAUACAGGUUUUUAAGCUCUUUUUAAAUCUUGAUAUUUUUUUUUUUAAUGUGUGCAACAAUGGUUUUGCUCAGAGCUACAGUUUCUUGUGGUAUGUAGUAUUUAAGUUUGUUUCUUUUGGAAGAACUGAAAGUAAAAUCAAGGAAAUGAAUGGAACGCAAGAUACUUGCCUAUGUUCCUGAAGGUGGUAGCUCUGCUGCCUUCCCUCUAUGAAGUAUAUGCGGAGAUGCAGUAGGAGAUCUGAUCCAUGGCUUCUGAAGUACAGCAUUUGCUAUCCUGUAUAAGUGAUAAGUAAGAAGAGCACAUCCUUAGUCAUGUAUGAAUAAUACUAGGUUCUUUCUUGCACAUCUAAUUGACCAAGAUGGGAAAUAAAAGCAAAACAGUCUUAAAACAUGAGCAUGUUCCCCGGACAAAUCUUAUGGCAGUGUAGCCAUGUACUUGGAAAAAAGUAUUUUGUUGAUGAUUGAGUGAUAAUAACAAAAUAGCAGUAAUCUGACUUUUGGAAGGAAAAUACUUCAUUUAAUCAGAAAUUAUUUUUUUCCUGGGUUUUUGGUUGUUUGUUUUCCAGAAAAGAAAGUUAAUUGUUUCAUUAAAACUUAUUUUAUGGAUUUCUUCCCAGCUAAGACCCUCCUAACAGUUAUUCACAUUUUCAUGGACUGUGGACCAUCUUUCUAAAUUCUUCUCUACAAGACACAUUUUCUGAAACAUUUAUAACCACAGUCUAGCCUGAGAUGGAAACAGAUGUUGAAUUAGUACAUUUUGACACUAUUUAUUGGAGAAAAAAAUAAGAAAUGAUAAAUUAAGAUUGUCAAGGGGAAGAUUAAAAUGAUAUAUUCAAACUGGAGCUGAACUUGGCUGGGGGCACAACGAAUAAUAAGAUGGGAGUCUGCAGGUACAUUAGUCAGAAAAGGAAGACUAAAAAGUGUACUCUCUCUGAUAAGCAAGAUGGGAUAACUGGUGACAGCAGACAAAGAAAAGGCUGAGGUACUCAACAAUGUUUUUACUUUCUUCUUUGCUGGCAGUCACUCUUCCUAUGUUUCUGUAGUCUCUCAUGUCCCAAAUGUCAAGGUAGAGACUGGGAGAAUUACGUGUAAGCAAAGGUUGAAUUCAUGAUCACCAGCUGAACCUGAACAUGCAUGUUUCUAUGGGGCCCUGAUGGGAUGCAUCCUGGGGUCGUGAGGAAACUCGCUGAUGUAGUUGCCAAGGCACUCUCCAAUAUGUUUGAAAAGUCAUGGCAAACAGGUGGAAACCAAUGACUAAAAGAAGGAGGAAAUCACACCUAUUGUUAAAAAGGAUAGAUAGACAGACCAUGGGAACUAUGAGAAUGGUCAGCCUCACCUCUGUACCAUGGAAAAGAUCCUCCCAGAAGCUAUGUUGAUAUAUAUGUGGAAAUGGGUAUGGAGAUGAUUUGAGAUAACCUACAUGGCUUCACAAAAACAAAUUGUGCCACCUACUGGCCUAUGGUGAGUGAUUGCAUCAGUGAGUUGCUGUCAACAGCUCAAUAUCUACAUGGAGAUAAAUGAUCAGUAGUGGUCCUCAAAGGGCAGAUAUUGUUUAAUAUUUUUAGUAAUGACAGUGGAUUUGAGUGCACUGUCAGCAAGUUUGCAGAUGACAGCAAGCUGAGUGGUAUGCUUGACAUGAUAGAUGGAAGGAAUGAUAUCUACAUGCAGAGUUGAGAAAUGGGACUACAUAAUCCUCAGCAAGGCCAGAUGAGGUGCACCUGGGUGAGGGCAACCCCAAACAUCAGUAUGGACUGGGUGAUUAAGGGUAAUUGUGUGGAGAAGGACUUGGUGUACUGGUGGGUGGAAAGCUGCUGUAAAGUCUUCCUGUGUAGCUCCUGAGAAAUCAACAAGUAGGCCAUCUUAUUGCUAGAAGUAAAACCAAUUAUCAUUACUCUUUCUCACGUUAACUCAAAUAACAAAUCUCUCCAAAAUUACACAUCAUAACAAUAAAUAUAUAAAUAACUAAGCAAAGUCCACUCAUUUGGUGCAAUCGCAUAUAUUAUUAAGACUGCUUUAGAAUAGUCAGAAGUGCCAUCUGCUGCUACACACAAGAAUCUCACUCUCUCAGUCACCUCUGGGAGGAAAGGAACUCAUGUUUAAGCAGUAGCAUCUGUGUUUUUAGGAAAAUAAUAAACUCAAUAUUCAGCUCAUACCAAAGUCAGAUGUAGUCAUUGUAGGCAUUGGAUUUACUUUUAAUCAUAAUGUAACCUUACACAAGCACAUUUUUCAUUGCUUCUCUUAAUAUUUAAUGUGCUUACAAGGACUUUACAAUCUACAAGGUCUGCUCCAAAACUAAUGGCUUCUAUUUUAUGUUGGUGCACAGUGUUAGAGGCAGAUGCUGGUAGGAUGGCAGCAGAGGUUGAACCUUCCCACCAAUAUCCCGUUACAUGUUGUUGCUGUGUGACAGAUGGCAGCAGAGGGGACAUCUGACAGAAUGGAGUCUGACAUGGUAGUGUGCAUGGAACAAAGGUAUGCAAUUGGAUUCCUCGAUGAAGAAGAAGCCAAAGAAAAAUGUACAGUGAUAAACGCAAAAUAAAACUCCAUGAAGGAGAAUCACUUAUCAGAUGGGUCUAGAGGAAAAUUCAGUGAACUAAAAUACUUUGAGUUAGAUGGUCAUGGAAUUGAUCUUGCAGCAAGAGAUUAACGUUUUCAAGUGCCUAACCACAGCUGUUCAACUUCUCUGUUGCUGCUGGUUCUGCGAUUCCUCCACCUGCUGCUAUCUCAUCUGCGCUCCUCCUGGAACUACUUCUAAGAACACAGCCAGAAAAUUCUAGCCUUACUGGCAGGUAAAAUACAGCAAUAACCCAAUCAGGAAAGUUUCUUUUAGUGCCUUUGCAUUUUCAAAAGGUAGAUGCUACCUGAAUUCCCUUUUCCACAGUGAAAAUUUAUUUACCUAAAAACAGGCUUUUCAGUACCAUGAACAGUGAAAGUUCAUGUCAAUUUUACUUAGUUUCAAGUCAAAAGAUAGAACUGAAAAGUAGAACUCAUCAAAGGCAACAAAUUAUGUCUGUAUAUGUCAGUAAGGCAGUAUGCCAGAUAAAAGUGCCAAUAUGUUUUGUGUGUUGCAUAUGUUAGUCAUAUCAUAGAAGAAAGCAGAAAUAUGUCUAUGUCAAUGUUUUGCAGCCCAUCAUCAUGGAACAUCAUCUUUGACUUUUAGGAUGUGAGAAGGAGUUGAAUUUAGUAAGAUACACUGCACGGAUAAAGCAUGAUGAGUCAAAGUGAGCAGUAUCUAGAGCAUGACCAAGGAACAGUAGAAUAAAGGAUUCAGCCUGAAAAGUCAUAUAUAUAUUUAUAUAAAGGCUACAACCUGCCGGAGGUACUUAACCCUUUUCCAUUCAUAACAGAGUAAACCUGGAUGUGUCACCACCAGAACUUAGCUUGCUAGCAAUGGGAUCUAUCAGUGCUGCUCCAAAAGUCACCAGUGUUUGUGUCAAUGAGGUGUGGGAAAUGGUGGGGUACACAUGGAGCUGAAACUCCUGCAUCUCAUAGAAUCAAAGAAUCAUUAAGGUUGAAAAAUGCCUCUAAGAUCACGAAGUCCAACCUCACCCUAUCCCCACCAUGCCCACUGAUCAUGUCACUCAGUGCCACAUCUCCACCAUCACCUCCAGGGAUGGAGACCACCCCCCCCACCCCCCCCCUCCCCCAGCUCCCUGGGCAGCCUGUGCCUGUGCAUCACCACUCCUUCUGAGAAGAACUUUUUUGUAAUAUCCAACCUGUAGGGCUCUCACAGAGGAUGCUCAAGGAGGGGAUCCUGCAGUGCUAGAAGAAGGAAGAUGGGCUAGUAACAGACACAGCUCCACAGGAUGUAUGCACCUGUGUGUAUAUGACUGUUUGUGCAUACUGGAAAUUUUUUUUUGGACUAAUCAUGGAUAGGUUUUAGAAAUUUGUAUAUUUAACAGCUGAUGAAUGCCUAGUAAUGUGGUUUGUAUGCUGUUUUACUGAUAUUAAUCUUGAAUGCAUAGCUCUGUGAUUGCCAUUUAAUUUUUUAAUUAAGAAAAAAAAAAGAAAACAACUUAGAUGCCAAUCUGAGCUGAGCUAUGUGAGCAGAGCAGUUUAUUUUCUCAUUGCAUUCUAUGACUUCCAUAUCAAGUAUGGCUGGCAUGGGCACCAAUUAUAUUUGGUAGCACUCCAGGAAGCUCUGUGAGGGAUUAUUUACUCUACUUCUUGGCACAUCUGUUUUUAUAAUACGACCAUAAGUUCUGUCACCGAUUUCAUUUCUUCAGUGUGAAGUGGUGAUGACAGGCAGAUCUCCAAUUCCCUGCAGUUACGUAGUUUGCAGAAUUUACCACUGAAGUACUGCCUGUUGAGGAAAAAUAUUCCAGAAUCCACAUACUGAUUAAAUACGAGUUAUUUCUAGUUGUAAAAGUAAACUCUUUGGAGUGCUAGUAGUGAACCUGAUGAUAAAAUAAUGCUUGCAGACAGACUGCAGAGGUGUUCUCUUUUUAGACUGCCAGGAUGAAAGCUUGUAAAAAAAGUUUUGUCACCCUCUUGUCAAAGCUGUGUGCAAACACUCCCUACAGCUCGCUCUUCAGCACUGCCCACUGCAGAUCUGAGUGGCUUUCUGGGUGACGGCAGGAAGGAAAAGGAACUGGGUUGUUUGGGAAAUAGAGCUCAAAAAGCCGUUUUUCUUUCUCCAGAUGUAGGAUGGGAACUUGACAGAACCUUCCAUGUGCCAGAAGCAUCCCAGUUCUUUCUGUUAGGAUGUAUACCUCAAAAUAAUUAACAAUUUAAUAACAUAUUUGUAAUGUUUAUGUUGCUUCACACUACUGCACCAGAAAAAGCAGUCCAGUCCUGCCAAACUAUCAAAACCUCCAGCUUCAACCUAGUUGACUUGAUGAGGAAUUAGUGACCAAGCAAAUUAGGUGUGGACACAAGUACAACACUGCUAUCUAGCUAUGCUGCUGAAUUGCAGUGCUAACACACUUAUUUAAGAUGAAUUCCUGAGCUCCUGUCACACAGCGCCUGUCCCAGACAGGCUGUGCCUCUGGCCACGUGUCUUCACAGGAGCAGCUGAGCUGAUGGCCAUGACAGGCCCUGCUGUUUGUCAACAGAGGAGAGCGUAAGUGAAAAGGUGAAUAACUGCAUUACCUGAAGCACGUGACCCUACUCUCUGCAGACACAGCCAACAGUGUUCCCAUACAUUUUUGCCCAAUGCUCUAUGGAUGUUUACAGAGACUUCUGCAAAAGCAGCAGCCUGCAUGAAUCAUGUUCUGUGCAGCUUCAAUGAGGCAAGAAUAAAUCAACUAAAUCUAAACCCACAGGCUUUGUAAUUCAUAUUGAUUUUGCCCCAGUGAAUAUUUUGAUACUGUGUCCUGCAGGUUUUCUCUGGCCUGGAUUUCACUCUUUUCCUUCUUGUUCAUUUCUCAGUUUUCACAGUAGAGAACAUUCUAUUUGAUCUUUUAGCACUUGCACUUCAGAGAUGUGUGAAAGACAACUGACAGUAAUGCUUGACUGAUCUGGACCAUGUUCUGCGCUGAUCUGCCUAAACUGCAACCUCCACCUGACCCAGAAUUACCUGCAGCUACACAAAGACUAUUAUAAUCCAGGGGGCAUAACCCUCUAUAAAUACAAAUGUGGGAAGCCUGAAAGGUUUUAAGUAUCUUACGGCAAUCGCAGACUUAGAUUUGCGAUUCGAUAGAAAUGGCCACCGUGCUCCGUGUUGACACACAAUUUCUGGUCUGCAAUGCUUUUGUUACUUGAGUAGGUGCUCAGUGCAAACAGAACAAGAAAAAGAAAAAAUACUCGCAGAAAUUCUUAUUUCUUCUUCUUUUUUUUUUUUUUUUCCUCAUAGUUUGGAUCCUUGGACCAAUAAUUGGAUAUAUAAUAAAUUAGAACUCCUUGACAUCUUGGGCUCAUCUCUAAAACCCCAGCUAACAGUUUUAUACUGAGUAUCUUUAGCCCCUGUUUUUCAGAACAGGGAGAAUGAAAGUAUUUGUUUGAGGGCAAAAGGGGACAUUAUUUAGGGCUGUUCAGGAGACAUCUAGAGUGGUGUGCUUGAGAAAUGCUGCAUGGAGAGCAGCUUCUGGGAACAGGUCUGUCUGCUCUGAAUUGCUGCAGCAUGGCAAUUGCUGUAAUUGAGAGAAUUAAACUGUGCUCCCUUUACUAUGGACUCAGUGGACGUAUCUUUGGUUUCUUUGGAUAAGUGUGUUCUAUGGCAAUUUAAAGUGAAAAAAAAUAAGAGAAGUGGAUGAGGAGGGACCAGUUAAUUGUUUCUAUUGUUUUUGUGCAAAUAGACAGCUCUUCAGAGUCACUUUAGUCAUCCAUAGGAACUAUUUAAACUGGGGAAUGCUGAGGUUUUUUUCUAAUUGGAGCCACUGAUAAUGACGUUAUUUUAUUUAUUGCUACACUGACGUAAUAUUUCAUAUUUAACUGCAGGUUAACAGAUUCAGCCUGCUUUAAUCAUUAGCAGAUAAAAAAUGGAAACCCUGAAUUCUCAUAGAAGAACAUUUUCUUAUAUUUUUUAAAAGAAUUUGAUUCAGAAAAAGGCUGAAAGAGACACAGAUUCUCUCCUGCCUGAGAAUCCAAAGAUGGAAAGAAUAGACUAGGAAGGCAGUUGUAAAGUUAAUUUAUGGUAUCAAGAGUCUUUAUGCUGUAAAUAAUGUAUAUGUGAUUACAUGGGGCCUCAAGUGGUGCAAUCCCAGUGUCCUGAUUUUGGCUUGGAUAGAGUUAAUUUUCUUCCUAGUGGCUGGUGUGAGAUGCUGUGUUUUGGAUUUAGGAGAUGAAUGUGGAUCAUACACUGAUUUUGUUGUUGUUCUGAGCAGUGCUUACACUAGGUCAAGGACUUCUCCAGCUUCUCAUAAUGUCCUGCCAGAGAGUGAGCUUGGGGGGACUCAAGGAGCUGGGAGGGCACAGAACCAGGACAGAUGGCCCAAACUGGCCAUAUGAUGUCCUGCUGGACAGUAAAACUGAGAGAGUUGGCCGGGGAGUGGGGGGGACAGUAGUUCUGCUUGGGAUCUGCCUGUGCAUCAGGCAGCUGGUGGUGAGAACUGUGCUGUGCAUCCCUCGUUUUGUGUAUUAUUAAUAUUCCCUUUUUUUUUUUUUCUUCUUUUUUUUUUUCUGUCCUGUCAAAUGGUCUUCAUCUCAACCCACGAUUUUUACUCUUUUUCUGGUUCUCUUCUCGAUUCCACUGGGGGGAGGGAGUGAGCAGCUGUGUGGUGCUGACCUGUCUGCUGGGUUCAACCACAGCACCCUGGAAAAAACAGCGGCAGAAGCUGAGCAGUGCCUCGGGCUGGAGAAAUAUUUUUCUGUAAGGUGUUUCCCAGACAUCUUCCACACUUGCAUGACAUAAGCAGGAUCUAAGCAGUUUUUCUCUUCCUAUGCUAUGAUAUGGGUUCUUCCAUACCUCCUGUCCACAUGUGACACUUCCUCUUUGCUCCAGCCUAAUUCUUCCCUUCCAGCCCAUGGGAUGCAAUAGCAGGACACACACCUAGGGAGAUUUGUUUCUAGGUUAGGCUAAUGGCAAAUACCUGUGGUUCAGUUCUGUGAGGUGUUCAUGCACUUGAAUUUGUUUCUCUUCUUUCCCUCUUUCUUUUCAGAUUCUAACAAAAACUACUAGUCUUUUUUUUUUUUAAUCUUAUUUUUCUUUUUUUUUCCCCUCACAGUUGUCUCCUGAUGUCCCCAGUGUAAAUCACAUACAUCAUUACACAGCAGUUAGAGACAUGCUAUAGAUCAUCUGUUCUUCAUUUAUGAAUGAUUAGCCAUUCUCUUUUUGAAACACUGCUGGGAAGCAGUCUUUGAUCCUGAUUGCCUUUGGCUAGACCUCCAGACGUUGGCUUAGAUAGAAAUUUUGAUCCUAGACUAAAAAUGAGCAAGUGUUAGAAACAAAUGCGCUUUUAUCCAUAGAAAGGAUAUAAGGUCAAACUUCACUCUGGGCCCUCAACACAACUCAACUCAGAAGGAAAGUAGAGAAAGGCAACUAUUGAUUAAUUAGUACAGGUAGCUCUCGAAUUGUCAGAAUGCCAUAUUCACCAUUCAUUAGGAACUAUUUGCUAAAUUCAGAAUGCUAUCUUUUUGGUGUGGGGCACAAGGAUUGAGUACCUUAGUGAUGUGAGAUGCUUCAUUUUAAAUAGUAAGCUAUGGAUGUAUGUGAACUGCUUCUGAUAAGAAUGGAAGAUUUAUCUUUAGAAUGAAUAUAUAUAGUGGCUAAAUCUGUAUAUGCAGCUUUAUAUUUUGCAAAUAUUGUUUUCUCUUCAUUGCUUUCUAUUGGAAGGCAUAUGAACUAAAACUUCUUUUGUUAAAACAUAAAAAGGAAAAUAAAUUUGUACAAAUUAGAAGCAAUUUUUUAUGUUUUUUAAUCAAAAUUUGCUAAAAUUCUGUGAAUCUCUUUCAAAAAAAAUUGCUUUUGUUUCCUUCUUUUCUUUCUUUUUUUUUUUUUAAAUAAUUUACAUUGCAUGAUUUUUACUUGAGUCAAGAAUUUCAUUGUAAAUAGUCAAAUGACCAUCCUGUUGUUUUUGUUUGGCCUGGAUCAUAAGGUAAGCAGAAGACAUUCUUUCACAGAUGAAAUCUUUGGUACAACACAGAAUGUUUCAACUGAGUUCUUUUGCAGAACACGAGUCAGAAAGAUAGAAGUUUUCCACCCAAAGUCUGUCUUUAUUUUAAGAUUUCUGACCAACUAUUUAAGAAUAACAAAAAAUACUUUUCACUUUGGCUCAUAUUGGAAAAUGAGUUUCCAGCCAAGCAGGUAGAAAGUAACUUACACUGCUAGAUAUUGUAAAAAGCUGGAAUAACUCUAUAACAGCAUGCAAAGCUGGAAUAACUCUAUAACAGCAAAGUAUUGGAUCUUUCUUUGUCUAGUCAUGAAAUUUAUUCCAUGUAAUAUACAUGUAAUAUAUGGAGUUGGCUGCAGGGAGACUUUUUAAUUGAGUUCCUGUUCCUGUUUUUGAUGUUGUUGGUCGGUUGGUUGUUGCUGUUAUUUUAUUUUCACUGGCUACAUAUUAUUUGAUCCUUUGAUUUAAUGAAAUUUAACACUAGUGACAGUGAACCCUAACAUUGUUUAUAAACUUUCUUUUUCUGUUUUCUUAUGUUUCCAGUUCUGCUGAAAAACAGAACAAAACAAAACAAACCUGUCAAAUUUCAUGGUCACAUUAAAGCAAUACUUUGUACCCAAUAUGAAAAUUGAAUUUGAUAAUUUAUUUUAUAGUCUUGGGUAAUUUUCAUUUAUGUCUUUUUUUCAUAUUUGUAGGAAUCGAAUAUGCACCAUACCAUUAUUUUUCAUUUUGGCAUAUAGUGGCAAAUAAGCUUCCUGUAGGUUAAAUCAUAUUGGAACCAAGAGUAAUAAGACUGGAACCACAUAGUGAAUUUCAUCCCAAAUGUGCAUGCUUUCAGCCCAGAAAUCCAACUGCAUCCAGGAGUGCAUCAACAGAGGGGCAGCAGCAGGGAGAGAGAGGGAGUUGUCUCUCUGUUUACCCCUCAUGAGGCUUCACCUGGAGUGCUGUGUCCAAACCUGGGGCCCCCAGCACAAGAAGGAUGCAGAACUGUCCCUUCAAAUCCAUAUCUCUCCAAUUUAGAAAUAAGGAUGUGAUAUGGGACCAGGUCAAAGGCCUUUGUCACAGAAUAUGAUUUACAAUAUCUUAAGAAAGAGAAAGUAAAUGACAGUCUAAGAGAAAGAUCAGACUUCACUGCAACUGCAUUACUCUUGAAAUCUGCCUGACCCAUAGAAGAUGUUUCACCCUAAGCACAGCAAGGUUUCAUAGCAUGAAAGUAUUCUUUUGCAUUUUUGAGAUAUGACAUCCCAUAGUAGAUAUUGCACAUUAUAAGCCAAUAUACUCUGUCACAUAAUGUUUUAGGUAAAUUUAGCUUAUAUUUAAGGAAAAAGAAGUCUGAAGUUAUUUUUGUCUUGACCAAUUACGUUCUUCAAAUAAAUAAAGGUAAUCCAGUCUGCAAGGAAUCUCAGAUCUUCUAGCCAAAUUCAUGCAAAGCAAGACUGGUUGUGUCAUUACGCGAGGCUGCUCAAAGCCUUGUUCAGCUCUGUGUUGACUAUUUCCAAGCAUGGAGAUUCCAUAAAAAUUACAGACCUGAUAGCAUUCAGGAAUUAAUUUCACAGUACCUUGGCAAUGCACAUCUGCAAUUUCAGAGUCCUAUACUGUUUGUUUAUAUAGAUCUUGGAAAGAAAAUGCCAAGGGGGUUAAGGAUGUCAGUGCAUGAAGAGUCCACGUAACCACCCUACGCUUUUGGAUAGAAGAAUGGGGAUAGGCCUUCUGCACACACUUUUUUUUUCUUCUCUGAAGUGAACACUUGAACUUUAGGACACAAGAAAACAACUCCCAGAAUUUUUAGAUAACUUAAAUCUCUCCAAGCCUACCUUCUGCCAGUAUUAGAACACCACAGUAUACAUGCUAAAAAAGGACUACUGUUCCCUUAUAUUAACUUUCCUUCCUUUUAUUUCCAGUUCCUCUUUCUCAUCACUCACUAGAAUUACAUAACCUUUAUGUUACCUUAUGAACUCAAAGGUGAUGUACUUUCCUGAAUGCCGUCUUUCCGUGGAUAAAUGGAGUAUAAGGAAUACAUGAGGAAUGUUUACCUAGUUAACACAUUUUAAUUCAUCAUUUAGAAAGAGGAUUUUCCUUUCCCAUAUCUCCCUGCAAUUAUCUAUACAUUGCAAUGUAUCAUGCAACAUUUUAUGUAGAUAAAGCUUUGUAAUAUUACAGUUGAGCAUUAGUUAUUUAUUUCACCACCACUUAGUGAUUAUCAGUGUUCAAUCCCAGGCAUAGCUGAAUUUAAAAAUAGAAAUAAGAGCCUCAUUCCAUGAUAUUAAACAUAUUGGGAGGUUUUCAAUCGUCUUUAAGGAGACUUAGAUUAAAAUUGAGAGAGUAAUUACAGUAUCAGUAGUUUAUAUGAAUAAACCUAAUUUUCUCUAAAAAGAUUCCUAAUUAAUGGAUAGAAUAAGUGUAGUAGAUGUAUUAUAUUUGGAACUUAGCAAUACAUUUACUAUCAUGUCUCAAAAUUUUAAUUGAAAAGUUAAUUUAAAUUAGCAUUCAUAUGAACUGUCUUGUGAUUUGAAACUGUGCUAUGUGGCCAUCUUCAUUCCUAAAUUCUGCCAUUUCUCUGAAAACUAUCGUUUGUUAGAGAACACUAGAGACCUAUAUGAAGUCCAUUGUACAGAAGCAGCUGAGCUGUGAAAGAAAUUAUUACAUAG
ensembl:lncRNA